CGGAGACUAAUUGUUUAUAAUAUUACGUUAAAUGAGUAUAAUUACUGAGGCCGGAGUCGACUAUUCCCAAGCUCAAUUUUCUAAAGAUUGUAACUGAUAUCUUGCAUAAAAUUCUAAAUCCCAAUUUGUAACAUUGACAAGCACUGAUCUGGCACCAAUCAACAAAAUAAUAUCCUAA